AGGUUCCGGUGAGAAAAUUGUGGUAAUAAGUCGGCUCUUGCGUCCUCCUGCAGCUGCGGAGACUCUUACCUCCUCCCACGGGAGACACUGGCGGUCUCCACACCCCUCCGACUUUCAGGAUUCUGGACAUCUGAGUUGCUGAAUCUUUUGCAAUUUCUUCAAUUAAUGAUGGAGACGUCAAAGAAGAAAGAUUGCAGCUGCCUUUAGCAACACGGACACAGCCGGUGUUUCCUUGUUUACAUUCCUGAAGCUGCGGAGACUCUUACCUCCUCCCACGGGAGACACUGGCGGUCACCACACCCCUCCGACUUUCAG